GAUGAACGCUGGCGGCGUGCUUAACACAUGCAAGUCGAACGGAAAGGCCACAGCUUGCUGUGGUACUCGAGUGGCGAACGGGUGAGUAACACGUGGGUGAUCUGCCCUGUACUUCGGGAUAAGCUUGGGAAACUGGGUCUAAUACCGGAUAGGAAUCACAUGUGGGUGUGUGGUUGGAAAGCUUUUGCGGUAUGGGAUGAGCUCGCGGCCUAUCAGCUUGUUGGUGGGGUAAUGGCCUACCAAGGCGUCGACGGGUAGCCGGCCUGAGAGGGUGUACGGCCACAUUGGGACUGAGAUACGGCCCAGACUCCUACGGGAGGCAGCAGUGGGGAAUAUUGCACAAUGGGCGGAAGCCUGAUGCAGCGACGCCGCGUGGGGGAUGACGGCCUUCGGGUUGUAAACUCCUUUCGUCAGGGACGAAGCGAAAGUGACGGUACCUGGAAAAGAAGCACCGGCUAACUACGUG
rnacentral:rRNA from 1 species